rnacentral:lncRNA from 1 species
UGGCAGCCCGUUCUGCUCCCGAAUGCCCCGGCUUAGUCAGUCUGGGAUGCGGCCCUGGACACCGGGCUUUAUGCAGCUCUGAAGUGAUCCCAGCACACAGCCCGGGUCAAGCUCAGCGCUCGGCAACCAUAGGCACCCAACAACGGGCUGCAGCCAUCAGUAACAACGGCAGCUCCAACGCCCAGAGAACUCACGGAGCAGACACACAUCAGAUGAAGACGCGGAGGCCUGAGCGCUGGGGGUCGCCCGGGGCUGCACAGCGGGUCAGAGGCCAACCCUGGGCGGAGCCAGGCCACACCCUCCCUCAAGGAUUCACAGUCUCCCCAAAGUAACCGCAACGAGGGACCCUCCCGUCACCAAACUUCCUUUCAGUCACUUCCGCUUGUACUAAUUCUGGCCCAACCGUUCAUUAUAUUUUUACAAUUCUUA